ACGGAAGGCAGCAGUGAGGAAUAUUGGUCAAUGGACGCAAGUCUGAACCAGCCAUGCCGCGUGCAGGAAUAAGGCCCUAUGGGUCGUAAACUGCUUUUGUGGUGGAGCAAUAAGUCGUACGUGUACGGCGAUGAGAGUACAUCACGAAUAAGCAUCGGCUAACUCCGUGCCAGCAGCCGCGGUAAUACGGAGGAUGCAAGCGUUAUCCGGAUUUAUUGGGUUUAAAGGGUGCGUAGGCUGUGGUCCAAGUCAGGGGUGAAAGCCCGGAGCUCAACUCCGGAACUGCCUUUGAUACUGGAUUGCUGGAAUACGGAUGCCGUGGGAGGAAUGAGUAGUGUAGCGGUGAAAUGCAUAGAUAUUACUCAGAACACCGAUUGCGAAGGCAUCUCACGAAUCCGUCAUUGACGCCGAGGCACGAAAGCGUGGGGAUCAAACAGGAUUAGAUACCCUGGUA
rnacentral:rRNA from 1 species